AGGACGAACGCUGGCGGCGUGCUUAACACAUGCAAGUCGAACGGAAAGGCCCUGCUUUUGUGGGGUGCUCGAGUGGCGAACGGGUGAGUAACACGUGAGUAACCUGCCCUUGACUUUGGGAUAACUUCAGGAAACUGGGGCUAAUACCGGAUAGGAGCUCCUGCUGCAUGGUGGGGGUUGGAAAGUUUCGGCGGUUGGGGAUGGACUCGCGGCUUAUCAGCUUGUUGGUGGGGUAGUGGCUUACCAAGGCUUUGACGGGUAGCCGGCCUGAGAGGGUGACCGGCCACAUUGGGACUGAGAUACGGCCCAGACUCCUACGGAGGCAGCAGUGGGGAAUAGUUGCACAAGUGGGCGGAAGCCUGAUGCAGCAACGCCGCGUGGCGGAUGACGGUCUUCGGGUUCGUAACCG
rnacentral:rRNA from 1 species